CGCUAAGAAGCUAAGCCGGUCAACAGCGUUAGCCUUUUAAGCUAAAGAUUGGUGACUACCACCCACCCCUAGCGA
rnacentral:tRNA from 1 species